AGUGAACGCUGGCGGUAGGCCUAACACAUGCAAGUCGAACGGCAGCACAGUAAGAGCUUGCUCUUACGGGUGGCGAGUGGCGGACGGGUGAGGAAUACAUCGGAAUCUACUUUUUCGUGGGGGAUAACGUAGGGAAACUUACGCUAAUACCUCAUACGACCUACGGGUGAAAGCAGGGGAUCUUCGGACCUUGCGCGAUUGAAUGAGCCGAUGUCGGAUUAGCUAGUUGGCGGGGUAAAGGCCCACCAAGGCGACGAUCCGUAGCUGGUCUGAGAGGAUGAUCAGCCACACUGGAACUGAGACACGGUCCAGACUCCUACGGGAGGCAGCAGUGGGGAAUAUUGGACAAUGGGCGCAAGCCUGAUCCAGCCAUACCGCGUGGGUGAAGAAGGCCUUCGGGUUGUAAAGCCCUUUUGUUGGGAAAGAAAAGCAGCAGGUGAAUACCCCGCUGUUCUGACGGUACCCAAAGAAUAAGCACCGGCUAACUUCGUG
rnacentral:rRNA from 1 species